CGGUGGUUUAUUAAAAAAGCUUAGAAGUUAAGUUUGGAAGUUGGAAGUUAGUUGUUGGUAGUUGUAUAGCGGCAGACGAGGUAGUAAUACGUAGGUACGUUCCCAAGAGUCUGGCAUAGCUCAUCGAAAGGUGAGGUAAUUCCAGAUGGUCCCGCAAGGGUAAAGCCAAGUUAUUUAUUUAAUUUGGUCGCUCUUGGAUCGGCCUGCGGCAUAUCAGCUAGUUGGUAGGGUAACGGCCUACCAAGGCGACGACGUGUAGGGGAGCUGAGAGGCUGACCCCCACCGAUGGAACUGAGAUAAAAGUUGUCUCCCUGUGGAGUAAUCCACAGGUAAAAUCCAACUCAUAACGGUGAAACCUUUGGGGGUAUGAUAUUAUAUACCCCAUGAAGGCAAUACCGUGGGAAGUUAAUGCACAAAAGUUAUCAGAUGCUUACGUGGCAGGUUUUCUAGAUGGCGAUGGUUCGAUAGUGGCAACUGUGGAAAAGCGUUUUGAGAGAAGACGUUUUCCUUACAGGGUCAGACUGCGAAUCAACUUUACGCAACACAAAAGACACCGAAGGUUGAUCGAGAUUAUAAAAAUUUUUCUCGGCAAUACCGGUAGCGUUCGUGAAGCGAAAAGUCACCCACUAGUAGAGCUUGUUAUACAAGAUCGGUAUGAAAUAGAGAGAAUUAUCACAAGAUUGUUACCCCACAUAGUUCUCAAGGAAAGACAGGCAAAGACCCUCCUUUCCAUCAUUGAGAUCUAUAAAAAAGCAACAGUCAAGACGAGAAGUUCUCUUUCAGAAAAAGAAUAUGUGGCUAUUUUGAAACUCGUGAGAGAAAUAAGGAAACUUAAUUCUCGGACGGGUGGGAAAAUAGAACUUAAGGCAUUUAACCCCGUAACGACUUUUCGCUUAGGCGAAAGAGUUUCUGAAAUGUCGUAGCAGACUAAAACAGAAGCUAACAUGUUGGCCCCAGACCUAGUUUUCUAAACUAGAGCUGGGUGAAGGUAUAGUCUGAUACUCCGAGUGAUCGGAGAAAACAUUAUGACGGUCCAUACUCCUACGGGAGGCAGUAGCCGAGAAUAUUCGACAAUGGACGAAAGUCUGAUCGAGCGACGCCGCGUGGUGGAUGAAGUCCUUCGGGACGUAAACACCUUUUAUGGGGGAGGAAUUUCGAUGACUGUACCCCAUGAAUAAGAGGUUGCUAACUCUGUAGACCCGAAGAGGGUUUGG
rnacentral:ncRNA from 1 species